rnacentral:lncRNA from 1 species
AAUUUUGUAAGUAACACAAGGAGACAGUGGUUAAAAAGUGAAAAACACUGGUUUAGAUGUUUAUCAAGUUUUCAACUCAGCACAAAGCAAAGAGGGCUAGAUAAUAUAAUGAAUGGUGGAAACAGGUGUUGAAAGGAUUGAAAGGGAAUUUUAAAGAGAAUGCAGAUUAUUGUACAUAGGUCCACACAUCAACUGCGUAAGAAUAGGAUAAGGAAAGAGAUGAGUGGCCCGGCAGAGGAGGGUUUAGGUUCAGAGUCAUAGUUCUCAGGAACUUUCCUGGUGGUCCAGUGGUUAACACUCCAUGCUUUGAAGACAGGGGUAUGGGUUUGAUCCCUGGUUGGGGAACUAAGAUCCCAUGUGCUUCUGCUUUUGGAAUCAUCUGCAGAGCUUAAAAAAAUACUCACACCUGGUCCCACCCUCAAAGGUUCUGAUUUCAAUGGUGAGAGUACAGGCUGAUGGCUUUAUAAGCUCUCAAGGGGACUCAAAUGUGCAACUAAGGUUCAAAACCAUGAAUGUAAAGGUUUUCUUAAUGCAGUGGUUCUGACGCCAUUGGCCUGAGAUAGAGGUUUUUUUUUUUUUUUAAACCACCUCAGGUGAUUGUAAGCAAGCCGUCAGAGUCGAUACUUCUGGGACAUCAGAAAGCUUAGCACAAGUCCAUGGUGAUAUUACUUCAAAAACUUGUUGUUCGUAUGCAUCCAACAAAAUAUUAAUAGAAGUGUGGUAUCUAGGGCAGACAAAGUAAUUCCUGUCUACUUUCCCAGCUGAAAUAGCACACCCAGCUCUGCCACAUUUUAAGAGGCACGUUGACUAAUUGACUUAAAGAUUAAAGGCUGUUAUCAUCUCUGACAUACAAUUUAAAAAUGACAUGAUCAUUAACAUGUCAAAUCUUUAACAUAAACAAAUCUUUAAAUAUUUUUAAAGGGCUGUUAUAUAUAAAAGAGAUUCAAAAUUUUUUGCCUUUGUGUUUUCUAAAGGGAGGAUAAUGUCAGCCAAUACGGAAAAUAACUUGCUAACUAAAUGGACUUUCAGAAUACCAUCAUUGGAGUUAUCCAAUCAGAAAUUUAACAGUGUCUUCGGUAGGACCCUGGGGAACAUCCAUAAUCUCUGUUCUCUUUUCCACCAACAGCAGUGGCCCAGUGUCCUGAGCAGAGAAGGACCUCGAUAG